rnacentral:lncRNA from 1 species
GGAGGAUGUAGACAGGUUAUUUUAGAUGAUGGAAGGAUUCAUAGCUGCCCAGCAAGGGCGAGAGGAGAGAAGGGAGCUACCCGACCCUCCUCCACUACUGCAGGUUGAGCCUCCACUACAGCGGGCUAAUCCCGAGCCACCCCAGCACGAGCCUGCUCCUCCACAGUACCACCCGGCACCACUGCCGCAGUACAACCCGGUGCCCCAACCACGGUACUACCCGGCACCGCCAUAGUACAGUCCAGUGCCCCCAUCAUAUCAGUAGGUGCCACCACAGGACCCCCCAGUCUAUCCCCAGUCGGGCCUAGUCCCUCUUCCACGGGACCCCGAUCCUUCCUUGAUCGACCCAGGCUAC